UUGAACCUCAGCCAUGGCAUUCUGAGCCCUAACAUCCGCCAUUGAAGCUUCAAAAUCAACAUAAAACAUAUACUCAAAAUGCUUAGCCGUCCCAACAUUCACAUCAUCCACAACUCGAACCGGCCGGUUCAGGUUAGGCCUACUCUCAAUCUUCAACAAUCUAAUAUUCCUAAACUCAAACGCCGAUAAAACCUUAUACAACACCGUCGUUCCUCUAUCCUGAGCAAACACAAUACUCGUCUUAUACGGCCGGUCCGUUCUCGCCACCACCGGUUCACGUGCGAGCAUCAUGAACCGUGUUACGCAACUCGAAUCGUCCUGUAUCGACUCAGCGAGUAUGUUUAAAUUGUAGAUCUCGGCAGCGCGUGGUGACGCAAUCGCCGCCGUGUCACGGAGGUUAUUCGCCGCCACGUGUUCCGCAGCUCCAGCGGUAUCAGCCACCGCCUCACGAACGACGUGGUUGAAUCCGAAUCCGAGUUUGUUCAGAGUUAACUCGCACUGAGCGAGAGCUUGUGGAUGACUAAUCACGCGCUUGAUGUGCUCCGUACGGACGCCUGGUAAGGCCACAAGGCAGUGGCGGAACGAGAUCUGGAUCUCGCCGACGAUGUGGAGUCGGUGGCGGAGGAGGAGGUCGUAGUUCCGGUGAACGCUGCCACCGAGAGAGUUUUCCACCGGUAAAACUGCUCGAUCGGCGAUCCAAAGCUCUACGGAUUGAAAUGCGAGUUCUGAAUUGUUACACGGAAUAGGUUUGCACUCCGGAUAAGCUUUUCCGGCGGCGGUUUCACUGUACGCGCCGGGAAGACCUUGAUAGGCUACACGUAACCUUGAACUGUGGUUUGCAGCCGGUGAAGUGUUGGUGAGUGGUUUUGGAAACUUGUUCACCGAUAUCAGAUUCAGAUCUAGCAUGUUGCGGUUAUUAACAACGGUGAUAAUAUCAUUAUUAUUGUUAUUGUGAUUGUUAUUAUCUGUACCGGUUGUGUUCUCGGUGUUCUGCUGCUGUAACACCACCUUACCGACUGACGGAACCGUUGUAGAGACGGUUGGAUUAGAGUGGUAACGGCGUGCGGUUGAUUGGACGGUGAAAGUGAGGCGGUGAGGGUCGGGUGACGGUGACGGCGUUUGCAUUAGUGGCUUGAAAGUAAUUUUGGGAUACGGCGAUAAAGUUUGCAUGUUUUCUGGUUAUAUGAAAUAUCGGAGGUGAAGCUUGGUGAAGGGGUAAUCGCCAAGCUGAGAAAUGUGAAGGAGAAUUGGGUUUUUAUAUUGGGAUGAAGGAAAAGAGUAGAGAAGACUUGAAUGGGUCAAGCUCACACCUACUACUCUAAGGGGUAUCUUCGUAUUUGUUUAGGGGUAUCUUUUGUAUAAAACCGGAAAAAAAUACACUACGAAUACGGGGUUGAGCCGUAGCCCGUGCUACCCUUCUUAUAACACUAGUUCCGUCCCUGGUCGGACCUCCGGAAGUGGAUGAGGCCAAAAUCAUU
rnacentral:lncRNA from 1 species